GAAAAAGAAACUUCCAUUACACCUUCAACAAAUAUGAAAAUAAAAGACAGAUUUGGUGUACUGAAAGAACAAAAGAUAUUCACCAAGUACAUCCACAGAGUUCCCUUUUUGUUUGUCCCUCCAUGACCAUUAUUCAGUGUGUUAAGAAUCCCUGAUUUUAAAGAACAGUGCAAAUAAUGUAAUAUAACAUCAUACAUCAAACUUUCAAAUCGAACAGUUUGCAAAUACACCAUUGCAUCUUAUAGUAUCAUGUAAAACAUGGUGCAUUUAGCUCAGUUCAAGCUUAAAAAUGGUAAAAUGACGAGUUCUCUUAUGGGAAAACAAGAUCGUCAGAUUCUGGGGCAAUUCCUUUUUUUUAGUAAGGUAAGUAAAGGUUACCAAAAAACGAAAGCACUAAGUGAUUAUAUUACAAUAUAUUCUAUAGCCUGAUAUUCUGAUUAAUUUAAUAAAUACUGAAACAUUUUUUUGAGUGACUAUAGCUUGCUAAUUGAAGAUCAACAGGCCAAUGCAUUGGCUUUUAAUUUAAGGCAGGCAAAAAGACACAGAUUCAAUAAAUAGAACCAACUAUUCUGAACAGCUAACAUGAUCAUCCAUCCAUCUACACUGUCCUAUCACACUAAGUGUAAACGAAGACAGAAUCUCAUUCAGAAUUAAACCUCUUGGUGCAAAACGUAAGCUUAAUGGAAUUAACACAUUUUCUCAUAAAACAAAAUGUAACAUGGUAGCAAUUGAUAUGUAUGUUGACCUAGACCCAUCUCAAAGAGUUCAAUAAGUGACACUGUCGGCCAGUAAUGAUGUAAAUCUCACUCCAGCCAGAAUGUUUCAAGUCCAGUAUAACCAGUAACUGUUUUUUGAAUGUGCAGGUAGUUCCAAUGUGUUCUAUAUCAGUAAUGCUGAAUGUGAUUUAUAUCUGAAGCUUCUGUUUGCUGGUGAGGUGUCCAGGAAGAGAUGCCCACUGCUAUUUUCUGUAUGCUUAUAGAAGGGAAAAA